rnacentral:rRNA from 1 species
AUUGAACGCUGGCGGCAUGCCUUACACAUGCAAGUCGAACGGCAGCACGGGUGCUUGCACCUGGUGGCGAGUGGCGAACGGGUGAGUAAUACAUCGGAACAUGUCCUGUAGUGGGGGGUAGCCCGGUGAAAGCCGGAUUAAUACCGCCUACGAUAUACGGAUGAAAGCGGGGGACGUUCGGGCCUCGCGCUAUAGGGUUGGUCGAGGUGGGAUUAGCUAGUUGGUGGGGUAAAGGCCCACCAAGGCGACGAUCAGUAGCUGGUCGGAGAGGGCGAGCAGCGACACUGGAACUGAGACACGGUCCAGACUCCUACGGGAGGCAGAAGUGGGGAAUAGUGCACAAUGGGCGCAAGCCUGAUGCAGCAAUGCAGCGUGUAUGAAGAAGGCCUUCGGGUUGUAAAGUACUUUCAGCGGGGAGGAAGGGAGUAAAGUUAAUACCUUUGCUCAUGGACGUUACCCGCAGAAGAAGCACCGGCUAACUACGUG